rnacentral:rRNA from 1 species
AUGAGCAUUCUUAACGCAGAGCACUCCAAGGUUUUGCUAAUGAAGAAGAUUUUCUUCCAAGGAUGUUCACCUGAACUGGAGUGGGGUUCAACAGCAAUUGUGGAGAAGUGUGACGGCCUUCCACUUGCUCUUGUGUGUAUGGCCAAGUUUUUGCUAGGCGAGAAUGAGCUUACGGGAAGUCACUGUGCGCGAGUUUGCCACAACCUCGGGCAUCAUAUGGAGAAGGAGGCAGACUUCACAAAAUUGCAACAGGUUCUUGUAAAUAACUACAGCAGCCUGUCUGGUUAUCCUCUGAGGACCUCCUUGCUAUACACGAGUGUGUUCCCAAAUGGUCGCCCAAUCAGGAGGAAUACUUUAAUCAGGCGAUGGCUAGCUGAAGGGUAUGUCCAGUGUCAAUAUAAACGCAGUGAUCUGGAGGUAGCAGAUGAAAACUUCCGGGAACUUAUUGACCGGAAUAUCAUCCGGCCGAUCGAUGCUAGCAACAAUGCAAAAGUGAAGACGUGCAGAACUCAUGGAAUCAUGCACGAGUUCAUGCUGCACAAGUCAAUGUCUGAUAACUUCAUCACAUCUCUUCAUGAUCACAAUCGGAGUAAUUUUCGUCACCUGUUCAUCCAAAACCAUGCAAGUGGCAGCACCUUGAGCUCAAACCAGCGUACAAGUCCAGCAAGCGAUGAUGCAGCUGGCAGUGAGAAAUUCCGCGCCCGGUCUCUGACCAUCUCUGGGGAUGCGGGAGAAGCUGCUUCUGAGUUUUGCAGGUGCGAGCUGCUGCGAGUGUUGGAUCUGGAAGAAUGCAAUGAUUUGGAGGACAGUCAUCUCAAGGACAUACAUAAGCUGUGGCAUCUAAAAUAUCUGAGCCUUGGGGGCACUAUCAGCAACCUUCCGAAGAAAAUUGACAAGCUACACUGUUUAGAGACCCUGGAUCUGAGGAAGACAAAGAUAGAGAUAUUGCCGGUGGAAGUCAUUGGGUUGCCUCACCUAGCCUACCUGUUUGGAAAGUUUAAGUUUGGGAAAAAGGACUUGAGAAAGAGCGAAAUAGCGGAGUUCUCGCAAAGAAAAAGUAAGUUGAAGUCUCUUGCAGGAUUUUAUGCAGAUGGAAACCCUGGGUUUCUACAACUGAUGGCUCAUAUGAAAAAACUGAAAAAGGUUAAGAUAUGGUGUGAAUCCACUGGCGCAGACAACAGAGGCUUGCCUCACGUUUCAAAGGCAGUUCAGAAGUUUGCUCAGGAUGGCAUGGACACAACCGGCGUUCGUUCUCUGUCACUCAAUCUUGGGAAUACCAUGGGUGACUUCCUGGGUUCUAUUCAAGAAUAUUGUUAUCUUAGCUCGCUGAAACUGCACGGCCGGCUUAGUGUAUUGCCUCAGUUUGUUACAUCCCUGUGUGGCCUCACGGAGUUGUGCCUUUCAUCGACUAAUCUGAUGGGGCAUGAUCUAUCGAACCUGCGCAAGCUGCGCUACUUGCUUUACCUCAAGCUGGUUGAGGAUGACCUUGGGAGCUUCACCAUAGACAAUGGGGACUUCCCAAGCCUGCAACGCCUAUGCCUUGUGGUGAAAAUGCCCAUCCUCCCUGCAAUCAAAGAGGGAGCCCUGACGUACCUUGUCUCAGUCCAGCUGCUCUGUGAAAACCUCUUUGAUCUUUCAGGCAUGAGGAUCGAGUUCCAUGAUUGUCUAGAGGAAGUUGCCCUCGAUUCUAUGGUCAGUACAAGAACGGCAGAAAUGUGGGAAACCGCAGCGAAGAAGCAUCCCAAGAGACCAAAAGUUGUGUUUCUCAAAAGGAUUGAUCCGAGCGAACCCUAG